UUCAAUUUGCAGUUUUGAGCUCUCUCUAUAUGUAAUCAAUUUUUUAGGUGUCAGCUCCUCUCUCUAUACGAUCCAUUUUGUAGUUCUGAGCUCUGUCUCUAAAACCAUAUCCUAACCCAUGUUUUCGUGCAAUCAGGUUUGUGGUUUAACCUCUCUCUAUCUCCCUCUGAAACGAUCAUCAAACACCUCUCUCUGAAACCAUAUCCUAGCCUCCCUCGCUCUCAAAACAAUUGCUGGUAUUAUAUUUCACUGUCUUUAUCUAAAAUCACCACCUAAAGCCUCUCUCUAGCUAUAAAGUUUAAUACUAACACGGCCCAUCUCCUCUUAUUUCCAAAUCGACUCAUAGCCACCCAACUUCCUCUUCAAAUAAAAAGCCAUCUGCCCUUUUAUUCUUUUUCCCAACUAAAAAUCUUCUUCGUCAACUCAGAACUGCCAUACGGCUAUAGUACUAGCCCAAAAAUCCGCUCAAACAACAUUGCAAAUUUGGUGGUGAAAAUCAACAAAAACCAACCUCAAAUCCGCCAGAAAAAAACAGCCAUAAAAUUGGUAAGAUUUUCAUUUAUACUAUUUUGAGAAUUUCUCAUAAAAACCACUAAAUUGUUGGAUAUAGUAAUAUCCAAUAUCACCCACAUAAAAAAAUCCCAUAAUAUUGAUAUAGAAAUUAGUAAGUU
rnacentral:lncRNA from 1 species